rnacentral:rRNA from 1 species
UGAGGAAUAUUGGGCAAUGCCCGCAAGGGUGACCCAGCAACGCCGCGUGGAGGAUGAAUGUCGUAAGAUUGUAAACUCCUGUUAGAGGGGAAGAAUAGUACCGGUUGGACCGGUAUAUGACUGUACCCUCAGAGAAAGCCCCGGCUAACUACGUGCCAGCAGCCGCGGUAAUACGUAGGGGGCAAGCGUUGUCCGGAUUUACUGGGUGUAAAGGGCGCGCAGGCGGGAUAAAAAGUCAGUGGUGAAAUCCUACAGCUUAACUGUAGAACUGCCUUUGAUACUUUUAAUCUUGGGUUCGGGAGAGAGAGACGGAAUUCCAGGUGUAGUGGUGAAAUACGUAGAUAUCUGGAAGAACACCAGUUGCGAAGGCGGUCUCUUGGUCCGACACUGACGCUGAGGCGCGAAAGCGUGGGGAGCAAACA